AGUGCACGUGCGUUGCACGUAUAGAUUUUUCUAAUAUAAUUAAAUAAAUCAAUAAAUUAGUGAAUAAAUAAUAUUAUAUUUAAAUAGUAAUGUCAGAUUUAAAAAAUUAUAAAAUAUUACAAACUAUGAACAAAAUACUGGAUAGAAAAUAUAGUAAAAUAAAAAUAUAAAUUUGAACAUCCAUACAUGAAAAUAGUUUAGAUUAAAAUGAAGUAAUAAAAGAAGAGUUAAAUUCAUUCUAAUUUUAUUGUCUUAGUUGUCGUCAUUGAUGAUCAUUUUUU
rnacentral:lncRNA from 1 species